rnacentral:sRNA from 1 species
AUUCUUCCCCUCUCUACAACCCUCUCUCCUCAGCGCUUCUUCUUUCUCGGUCUGAUCCUGACUGCUGUCAUGGCGUGCCCUCUGGAGAAGGCCCUGGAUGUGAUGGUGUCCACCUUCCACAAGUACUCGGGCAAAGAGGGUGACAAGUUCAAGCUCAACAAGUCAGAGCUAAAGGAGCUGCUGACCCGGGAGCUGCCCAGCUUCUUGGGGCCUCUUCUCCCUCCAGAAAAGGACGGAUGAAGCUGCUUUCCAGAAGCUGAUGAGCAACUUGGACAGCAACAGGGAUAACGAGGUGGACUUCCAAGAGUACUGUGUCUUCCUGUCCUGCAUCGCCAUGAUGUGUAACGAAUUCUUUGAAGGUUUCCCAGAUAAGCAGCCCAGGAAGAAAUGAAAGCUCCUCUGAUGUGGUUGGGGGGUCUGCCAGCUGGGGCCUUCCCUGUUGCCAGUGGGCACAUUUUUUUUCCACCCUGGCUCCUUCAGACACGUGCUUGAUGCAGAGCAAGUUCAAUAAAGAUUCUUGGAAGUUUUGAGGCUGA